UACGGGAGGCAGCAGGGGGGAAUCUUGGGCAAGGGGGGAAGGCAUGUCGCAGCCACCCCGCCUGAGUGAGGAAGGCCCUCGGGUUGUAAAGUUAUGUGGAGGGGACCGAAUAAGGGCCGCCGAACCCCAGGCUGGAUGACGGUACCCCUUUAGCAAGCACCGGCUAACUCUGUGCCAGCAGCCGCGGUAAGACAGAGGGUGCAAACGUUGUUC
rnacentral:rRNA from 1 species